AACGAACGCUGGCGGCGCGCCUAACACAUGCAAGUCGAACGAGAAUCCGGGGCAACCCGGUAGUAAAGUGGCAAACGGGUGAGGAAUACAUGGGUAACCUACCCUUGAGAAGGGAAUAACCCGCCGAAAGGUGAGCUAAUACCCUAUACGCUAUCUUUUUUUCGAAAAGGAUAGGAAAGCCGGGUCGAGGACCCCUGGUACUCAAGGAGGGGCUCAUGUCCUAUCAGCUUGUUGGUGGGGUAACGGCCUACCAAGGCUACGACGGGUAGCUGGUCUGAGAGGAUGAUCAGCCACACUGGCACUGAGAUACGGGCCAGACUCCUACGGGAGGCAGCAGUGAGGAAUAUUGCGCAAUGGGCGAAAGCCUGACGCAGCGACGCCGCGUGGGGGAUGAAGGUUUUCGGAUUGUAAAGCUCUUUCGGCAGGAACGAAACGGUGAAGGCUAAUAACCUUUACUAAUGACGGUACCUGAAGAAGAAGCACCGGCUAACUACGUG
rnacentral:rRNA from 1 species